rnacentral:lncRNA from 1 species
UUGGCAGUGGCUUAUUUGCCGGUGAAACAGUAAUUAUGAUCUGAUUAUAAUAUCUCGAUUAAAAGCGAGCUAUAAAUAGCUAUACCAUAAUUCAUGGAGUUUUUUCUUAAGAUUUCCAAAUUGAUGAAACAAAAUAUUCUGUUCGAGUACAGGACAAAAAAUAUUCUGAAUCCAGAUUCCACCCAUACCUUAUAGUGUUAGAUUUAAAAAAAAAAUUGAUUGAUAUCGUUGAAAAAUUAAAUAAAAUUGUUUGCGCUUCACUGACUUAAGCAAAAACCAUGACCCUCCUUGAAGUUAAAUUGUUGCUCCCUGACGAGUCUACAGUUUAUUUUUAAAUUAUAUUUAAUAUCACUAUGCAAAUUUUAUCAAUGUCAAUUUUUGUAGAGUCUUACAUGAAGAACUACAUGUACCCCUCAGCAAGGACAUCAGAUAUUGAAGAAUUGAUUGGGGAAACCCUAAAACAUACACCCCCAAAACCAGGCGGAACACGCUAUAAGGUAAGAAUACCCUUAUUUCCCCCGUAUAGUGCAACCUAUAUUGGAAUAUUUCCCAAAAUUAUUAUUGUUUGUAUUCUAUGUUGUUUGUUUUUUUUUAAUUCAGUACGAAAUUGUUAUCAGUAUAGAUAUGCAUUUGUAACUAGCAUUGUGAAGAUCAAGAUACUCUUUUGGGACAAUAAAGGGUAACAUUAAAUUUAACUGAAUAUAUAAUUAUGUGGUUUAUGUAUUUUUCAAGGAGAUUUGGAAAGCCACGUCUUACACACAGCUACAUAGAUCUAGUAUUUAUUUGCAAUAAUGUUUGACCUAGAAUAAUUACAAUUUAACUUUUUGUACAAAUAAGUUUUUGUAUUGUCAUUGCAGGAACCAACUGUAAGAGGGUAAUUGCAGCAGCUCCGGAAAUACCACCACCAGGGACCCAGGAGAAC